rnacentral:rRNA from 1 species
AGUGAACGCUGGCGGUAGGCCUAACACAUGCAAGUCGAACGGCAGCACAGGAGAGCUUGCUCUCUGGGUGGCGAGUGGCGGACGGGUGAGGAAUACAUCGGAAUCUACUUUUUCGUGGGGGAUAACGUAGGGAAACUUACGCUAAUACCGCAUACGACCUACGGGUGAAAGCAGGGGACCUUCGGGCCUUGCGCGAUUGAAUGAGCCGAUGUCGGAUUAGCUAGUUGGCGGGGUAAAGGCCCACCAAGGCGACGAUCCGUAGCUGGUCUGAGAGGAUGAUCAGCCACACUGGAACUGAGACACGGUCCAGACUCCUACGGGAGGCAGCAGUGGGGAAGAUUGGACAAUGGGCGCAAGCCUGAUCCAGCCAUACCGCGUGGGUGAAGAAGGCCUUCGGGUUGUAAAGCCCUUUUGUUGGGAAAGAAAUCCAGCUGGCUAGUACCCGGUUGGGAUGACGGUACCCAAAGAAUAAGCACCGGCUAACUUCGUACCAGCAGCCGCAGUAA